rnacentral:rRNA from 1 species
CCCUUAGAUGUCCUGGGCCGCACGCGCGCUACACUGAUGCAUUCAACGAGUUUUACCUUGGCCGAGAGGCCUGGGCAAUCUUUUAAACCUGCAUCGUGAUAGGGAUAGAUUAUUGCAAUUAUUAAUCUUGAACGAGGAAUUCCUAGUAAACGCAAAUCAUCAAUUUGCAUUGAUUACGUCCCUGCCCUUUGUACACACCGCCCGUCGCACCUACCGAUUGAAUGGUCCGGUGAAGCCUCGGGAUUGUGGCCAGUUCACUUUAUUGGGAGUUGGCUGUGAGAACUUGUCCAAACCUUAUCAUUUAGAGGAAGGUGAAGUCGUAACA